UACAGAGGGUGCUAGCGUUGUUCGGAAUCAUUGGGCGUAAAGGGCGUGUAGGCGGUUUGUUAAGUCAUGUGUGAAAUCCCUCGGCUCAACCGGGGAACGACGCAUGAAACUGGCAAGCUAGAGUACCAAAGAGGGGGGUGGAAUUCCCGGUGUAGCGGUGGAAUGCGCAGAUAUCAGGAGGAACACCGGUGGCGAAGGCGGGUCUCUGGGCCAUUACUGACGCUGAGGAGCGAAAGCGUGGGGAGCGAACAGG
rnacentral:rRNA from 1 species